AUGAGUGAAGGGAAAGCCAAAGGUUUUCUUGAGGAUGAGCACGACACCUUAUGGUUUGAGGACCGUAUUUAUGUGCCCAAUAAUGCAGAGAUCAGGAAGUUGAUACUUCAGGAAGCUCAUGACUCACCAUACUCGAUACACCCCGGAAACACCAAGAUGUAUUUGGAUUUGAAGGAGUGUUUCUGGUGGACUGGUAUGAAGAAGGAUAUUGCCGAGUAUGUAGCCGUAUGUGAUGUAUGUCAGAGAGUGAAGGCAGAACAUCAGAAGCCAGCAGGAUUACUGCAGCCUAUGCCGAUACCCGAAUGGAAGUGGGAUAAGCUUGGCAUGGAUUUUAUCAUCGGAUUGCCCAGGACCCGAUCAGGAUAUGACUCUAUCUGGGUAGUAGUGGAUCGCUUGACCAAAGUAGCCCACUUUAUCCCCGUGAAAACCACUUAUACAAGUGCGAAGUUGGCCAAGAUAUACAUGACCAGGAUCGUAUGUCUGCACGGAGUUCCGAGGACCAUCGUAUCAAAUAGAGGAACACAGUUUACUUCAAAGUUUUGGCACCAGCUGCACCAGACUUUGGGGACCAGGCUAGAGUUUAGUACAGAUUUUCACCCGCAGACAUAUGGACAGACUGAGAGAGUCAAUCAGAUUCUGGAGGACAUGUUGAGAGCUUGUGCGCUAGAUUACGGAUCUAGUUGGGAUGACAACUUUCCCUAUGUGGAGUUCUCUUACAAUAACAGCUACCAGGCCAGUUUGAAGAUGGCACCGUUUGAAGCCUUGUAUGGAAGAAGAUGCCGGACACCGUUGAUGUGGGAUGAAGUUGGAGACCGCCAGUUGUUUGGACCGGAUUUGAUUAAGGAAUCUGAAGAGAAGGUUAAGCUGAUUCGGGAUAGACUGAAG
rnacentral:rRNA from 1 species